CAGCUAUAGGCUGUAAGUAAGUAAUCCUGUAUUUUUGGUAUUUUGUUAGUUUUGAAGCUCUGAAAUGACUGUUGCCCAUUAAAUAAAGUGUCUUUGACCCAGACUGGAAGCAGCACCAGGCUAUGGUGGUGAACUGAAACAUUUGAACAUGUUCCAAAGGUCAGUAGUAGAUUCCCUUGUAAGGCCCAUAGAUGUCAUUGACUCUUGGCCUGGUUUCCAGUAUAGGCCACACUUUUUUGUUCUGUGUAGCUGGCCUCAGAUUGCACCAGAAAACCUUCAAAAUAAUAACCCACAAAAUAAUCUAUGAUAUCCCUAUUAUUCCAUUGGGUUGGCUUUCUUGGGCAUAUUGUGGGAUUGUACCACACAGGAUCCAAAUCUGGAGAUGGCCAUUGAUAUUUCUGCCCGCUGGCCAGGUCUGCAUAGUAGAUUUUUGAGAUUGGGAAUGCUAUGGACAGGGUGUACUAGGCAUUUGUAGAAAGUGUGAAUUGUCUGAUCUGAGCUGUAUUUUUUUUCCUCAAGAAGUUUCACUGGAUUUUUGACUAACCUAUAUUGUCCUGUUUAAAGUUUUCUCAGUCUUGAAAUUGUGUACUAAUUGAGGCACUGUGUUGAGUUGUAAAGGGAAUAAUUAGUUUCCUUUUUUUUUUUUUUUUGCAGUAUUUGCUUUAGCUUUGUGUUUCUUUGUCUUUAUUAUUCUGAGGUAUGUUCCUUCUGCCCUCACAUUAUUAAGAGCUUUUUUACUGUGCUAAUGCCGUAGUUUAGCGCAGGGCUUUCAUAUAUCUAUUGACAUAGUCCCUUUUCUCCUCUCAUUGAGUCUACUCAUUUGGUGUCGGACAUUGAUUAGUUUGUAAGUAUUGAAGCAGUCUUGCAUUUUUGGUGUGAACUCAGCUUUCCUUCUAUUUCAGUGUAAUUUAGAACAGUCUCUGUGUCUGUAAAUCAUGGCAACUGGUUUGAGAUUUUUCUCUUCAUAUGUUUGUUUGGGCUCACCUGCUUUGUGUGUCUAGAUAACACCAGCUUUGUAUGAUGACUUUCUAAUGUUCCUCUUUUUUGUGUUUAUGGCAAUAUUCUGCUUUCGUGUUUAGGAUAUGCUUUGUCUAAAGAAAGGAGAAUUCUGUGCUAAUCUGUCAGACACCAUUAGAGAAAACCCUUCCUGGUUCGGUCUGUGCACUUGUUUGAUGCGGGUUCAAGUUUUAUGAUGUAGGAGGUUGAUUUAUUCACUUAUUUCUAGGAACUCUUCAAUUCUGAUUCACUUGUGUAUGACCUUCCUCAGCCCUGCAUAUAGUAACACUGAUGUCAUUGUCAUAUUGUGCAGUGUCCCCUUUUUUAAAAUUAAAAUUUUAUUUUUAAUUUUUUACAUUCCAUAUUCCAUCCCCCAUUCCUCCUUAUCCACCCUCCGUCUGCUCCACAUCCUACACCUCCUCCCACCACACCCCAUCUCCAUGUGGAUGCCCCCACCCCAAACCCCACCUGACCUCUAAACCCCCUGGGACCUCCAGUCUCUUGAGGGUUUGGUGCAUCAUCUCUGAAUGAACAGAAACCCAGUAGUCCUCUACUGUAUGUGUGUUGGGGGCCUUAUAUCAGCUGGUGUAUGCUGUCUCUUUGGUGGUCCAGUGUUUGAGAGAUCUCAGACGUCCAGAUUGAGACUGCUGGUCCUUCUACAAGAUUGCCCUUCUCCUCCUCUUUUAGCCUUCUCUAAUUCAACAACAGGGGUCAGCUGCUUCUGUCCAUUGGUUAGGUGCAAACGUCUGCAUUUAAUUCUUUCAGCUGCUUCUUGGGUCUUUCGGAGGACAGUCAUGAUAGGUCCCUUUUUGUGAGCAUUCUGAAGCCUCAGUAAUAGUGUCAGGCUUUGGGACUUCUCCAUGAGCUGGAUCCCACUUUGGGCCUGUCGCUGGACCUUCUUUCCUCAGGCUCCUCUCCCUUUCCAUUUCUGUAAUUCUUUCAGACAGGAACAAUUAUGGGUCAGAGUUGUGACUGUGGGUUGGCCACUCCAUCCCUCCCUUGAUGUCCUGUUUUCCUGGUGGGGGUGUGCUCUAGUUCCGUCUGCCUACUGUUGGGUUUUUCAUCUAAGGUCCAUUCCUUUGAGUCCUGGGUGUCUCUCACCUCCCAGGUCUCUGGUGCAUUCUGGGGUGGCCCCCUAACCUUGUAUUUCCUGAGGUUGCCUUUUUACAUUCUUUUUGCUGGUCCUCAGUCUUCAGGCCUUUUCUCUCAUCCAAUAUCAGAUCAGGUUUCCCUCUCCCUCACACUCCCCUUCCCACACUGUCCACCUUCUCUCCUAGGUCCCUAUCUUAGCUCUAGUUCUAAUAGAGAGAGUCACUGUUUUAGUUUCUUCCUUCCUUCCUUCCUUCCUUUGUUUCUUUGUUUCUUUGUUUCUUUGUUUCUUUCUUUGUUUCUUUCUUUCUUUCUUUCUUUGUUUCUUUCUUUCUUUCUUUCUGUCUUUCUCUCUCUCUCUCUCUCUCUCUCUCUCUCUCUCCCUCCCUCCCUCCCUCCCUCCCUUCCUUCCUUACUUCCUUUCUUGUUUUGUUUUUUUUGUUUUUUGUUUUUCGUAUUUUUGGAGACAGGAUUUCUCUGUAUAGCCAUGGCUGUCCUGUAACUUACUCUGUAGACCAGGCUGGCUUGGAUCACAGAAAUCUGUCUGCUACUGCCUCUCAAGUGCUGGGAUUAAAGGCGUGUGCUGCCACUGCCUGGCACUCUUUUAAAAGUUUCGAGUAGCUGAGCAUUGCUUUGUCAGUACCUAAUCUCUGCAGAGAGACAUGUCUGUCAUGUUGAACUAUAUGAUUGUAUUAUCUUUCAGUCAAUUUUAUUAAUUUCUAUAUAACCCUCGAAAUAUGUCUUUAAAUUCUACUUGCAUUUUUACAUUUUAAAAAAGGUUUAUUUAUUUUAUCUUUAUGACCACUCUCUCUUCGUGUACACGUGCACACGUGCCUGCCAGAAGAGGGCAUCAGAUUACAUUGUGCAUGGUUAUGAUCUACCAUGUAGAUACAGGAGUGAUGUGAGCACACUAGAUAUGGUGCUGUGAGCAGUGGAGACAGCUCAGGUGAUGUAGUGAUACAAACCAUGUAAAGCAAGCAAAUCAAUAGUACCCCUCCAUGGUCUAUGUGUCAUCUCCUGAUUCCAAGAUCCUGCAGAGCAUUUUCAGUAUUUAUACACUAUAGCACAGUUGGAGAAUCAUUUGUAGAAUCCUCUUUUGUUUUUCUUUUUUAAAAAAUUGGUUAUUUUAUUAAUUUACAUUUCAAAUGUUGUCCCCCUUCCUGGUUUCCCCUCUCUAAACCCACUAUCCCAUCUCCCUCCCUCUGUUUUCUUUUUCUUUUUUUCCCACAUUUUUUAUUAGAUAGUUUCUUCAUUUACAUUUCAAAUGCUAUCUGAAAAGUCCCCUAUACCCUCCCACUCCCCUAUGCCCUGCUCCCCUCCCCACUCACUCCCACUUCUUGGCCCUGGUGUUCCCCUGUAUGGAGCAUAUAGUGUUUGCUAGACUAAGGGGCCUCUCUUCCCAAUGAUGGCCGACUAGGCCAUCUUCUGCUACAUAUGCAGCUAGAGUCACAAGCUUUGGGGGUACAGGUUAGUUCAUAUUGUUGUUCUACCUAUAGGUUUGCAGACCCCUUCAGCCCCUUGGGUACUUUCUCUAGCUCCUCCAUUGGGGGCCCUGUGUUCCAUCUUAUAGAUGACUGUGAGCAUCCACUUCUGUACUUGCCAGGCACUGGCAUAGCCUCAUAGACAGCUAUAACAGGGUCCUUUCAGCAAAAUCUUGCUAGCAUAUGCAGUAGUGUCUGCAUUUGGUGGCUGAUUAUGGGAUGGACCCCCGUGUGGGGCAGUCACUGGAUAGUCCAUCCUUUUGUCUUAGCUCCAAACUUUGUCUCUGC
rnacentral:lncRNA from 1 species